rnacentral:rRNA from 1 species
GUCUACGGCCAUACCACCCUGAACACGCCCGAUGUCAUCUGAUCUCAGAAGCUAAGCAAGGUUGGGCCUGGUUAGUACUUGGAUGGGAGAAAGGGAGAUAGAGACA